AAAUUCGGGAGUUUGAGGAUAGGGAGGACACAUGAGACCAGCGUGCCUUUGGUUUGUUCGGUCCUGAAAGUGGAAUAUUACUAAGGAAGAUUUCUGAAGGAUAGCAAAAUAAGUCUGAUUCAGGAGAGGAAACAUAGAUGUGAAGUUUGAUGAUUUCCACACAGAACUGUCUUGGGGCAGUCUGGAUUUAUGGGCUAAAGUCUGCAGGUGCUCCUGCUGAUUCAGACAGUGACAUACUGCUGAAAUUGCGAUAGCAGUGAUACCUGUUACUGUGCACGCUGCAUGAAUCAAGUGGCUGAACUGCCUCCUGAUACAAUCAGCGCUUUCAGUUUACUCCAUCUGUAUAUGCAGUACAAGUUCCUGUUUAUUUCACAGCGUGUGUUUGUAUAAUCAGUGUUCACAUCUUCGGUUCGCGUGCUUUGUCCUGAAGGACAAGCCACAGGGCAGAUGGUCAAGGAAAUGAAUGCGACUUUACUGUGUGAUGGGUGCUGGGACACUCUUGAUGCACUUGUGUGCGUGGGGAUGGUUCCCGUUCACUGCGUGAACCUGUGACCCAAAACAGCGUCCCGGCUGGAAUGUGCAGGCGGUGCAGACGCUGCUGCCACCCACGGCUCUUACGGGACAUUGCCCUGAGUGCAGUGGAAAGGUUGAGACUACUUUGCUGCCAGGUACCGGCUUCCAUGUGCAAGAUAAAUGAGGAGCUCAGUGUGGGACCCUUAAAGCAGAUUGAGACAUAGACUUUGGCUAUAUUUUUCACACCUGCGUGAAGCUAGAAGUCCAAGCGGAUGCCUGUGCCGCCGCCGCCACCUCCUCCUCCGCCACCUCCACCACCACCACCACCUUCUGGAGGGCCCCCUCCACCACCACCUUCUGGAGGGCCCCCUCCACCACCACCACUGGUAAGACUGACUUUUCAUUUCUAUGAGCUGCAGUUAGCCAGCUAGGAGCCCAAAAAGGAUUUUGGCAUGGAUAUUCAUAGGAGAUAUCUGGGGCAGAUGUUUGUUUUGCUGGCACUGGUUCUUCUGUUUAUUACAGCAGUGGUCUCCAAAGUGGGGUGUGUGAGAUGAUCCAUUGGUGUGUGGGAUGAAAAUACUGGAACUUCAGUUAUACAUAUGUAUACUUUAUAAAGAAAUAAACCUAUGUAUAUUGGCGUGCA
rnacentral:lncRNA from 1 species